rnacentral:misc_RNA from 1 species
GAAGGAAGAGAAGAAAAAGAAGAAAAUUAAGGAAGUCUCUAAUGAGUGGUCAUUGGUUAAUAAGCAGAAGCCCAUAUGGAUGAGGAAGCCCGAGGAGAUCACAAAAGAGGAGUAUGCUGCAUUCUACAAGAGCCUGACAAAUGAUUGGGAAGAGCAUUUGGCUGUCAAGCACUUCUCUGUUGAAGGUCAGCUUGAGUUUAAGGCUGUUCUUUUUAUUCCAAAGAGAGCUCCUUUUGACCUCUUUGACACCAAGAAGAAGCCCAACAAUAUCAAGCUCUAUGUUCGCCGUGUGUUCAUCAUGGAUAACUGUGAGGAAUUGAUUCCUGAAUAUUUGAGCUUUGUGAAGGGUAUUGUGGAUUCUGAAGAUCUUCCCCUCAACAUCUCUAGAGAGAUGUUGCAGCAGAAUAAGAUCCUGAAGGUUAUUCGCAAAAACUUGGUGAAGAAGUG